UAAGGCUAAAUACUCUCUAGUGACCGAUAGUGAACCAGUACCGUGAGGGAAAGGUGAAAAGUACCCCGGAAGGGGAGUGAAAGAGAACUUGAAACCGUGUGCUUACAAGUAGUCAGAGCCCGUUAAUGGGUGAUGGCGUGCCUUUUGUAGAAUGAACCGGCGAGUUACGAUCUGAUGCAAGGUUAAGCAGAAAAUGUGGAGCCGUAGCGAAAGCGAGUCUGAAUAGGGCGAAUGAGUAUUUGGUCGUAGACCCGAAACCAGGUGAUCUACCCUUGGUCAGGUUGAAGUUCAGGUAACACUGAAUGGAGGACCGAACCGACUUACGUUGAAAAGUGAGCGGAUGAACUGAGGGUAGCGGAGAAAUUCCAAUCGAACUUGGAGAUAGCUGGUUCUCUCCGAAAUAGCUUUAGGGCUAGCCUCAAGUGAUGAUUAUUGGAGGUAGAGCACUGUUUGGACGAGGGGCCCCUCUCGGGUUACCGAAUUCAGACAAACUCCGAAUGCCAAAUAAUUUAACUUGGGAGUCAGAAUGUGGGUGAUAAGGUCCAUAUUCGAAAGGGAAACAGCCCAGACCACCAGCUAAGGUCCCAAAAUAUAUGUUAAGUGGAAAAGGAUGUGGCGUUGCCCAGACAACUAGGAUGUUGGCUUAGAAGCAGCCAUCAUUUAAAGAGUGCGUAAUAGCUCACUAGUCGAGUGACACUGCGCCGAAAAUGUACCGGGGCUAAACAUAUUACCGAAGCUGUGGAUUGUCCUUUGGACAAUGGUAGGAGAGCGUU
rnacentral:rRNA from 1 species